UCCAACAAAAAAAAUCUCUCUCGUUAUUCGUAAUUCGAGGCUACCUCGUGAUCCAACCAUGGUUUCCCAGGGACACCAAACUGAGCCGGCUAGAAACUCCCCUUAUCCCCCAUAAUUAAACAACUCCCCUUAACAGAAACUCCCAUGGUUUCCCCGGGACACCAAAUUGAGUCGGAGCUGUCUUGGUGCCAUUGUCUUCUUCUUCAUACAAAAGGUCAGAGUCGAAAUCAUCAUCAGACGAGUCCAACACUCCCUUUGUGGCAUUACCACAUGUGUAUCCAACACGGCGAAUGACUUGCUGAGCACGAAGCAGUCCGUAAGUGAACAACAUGUGUUGAGAGAGGUAGUUGGGGACAAGAGGGGUUAAAGGCAUGAUGCUCCAUGAAGAAAUGAAGAAAAGAGAAAGUCGGACACUCAGAGGAUUUCAAGA
rnacentral:lncRNA from 1 species